UGAAUAUGUGCUGGAAGUAUAUGAUGAUUUGACAUAGAAUUAGAGUUUUAAAUUGUUUAUAUGCUGAUUUUAUUGAAAGAAUUGAAUAGAAAGUGAAUGUUUGGGACCUAAAUUGUAAAAGAGUUUGAAGUUAGAGUUUUAUGUGGAAAUUCUGAAUUUCAAUAGUUAUGAAAUAACUUAUAAUGUCUAGGAAAAGUAUUAAUUGAGAAAAUUAGUUUAAUUGAG
rnacentral:lncRNA from 1 species